AGCAGCCGCGGUAAUUCCAGCUCCAAUAGCGUAUAUUAAAGUUGUUGCAGUUAAAAAGCUCGUAGUUGAAUUUCAGGCCUGGCUGGGCGGUCCGCCUUUUGGGUGAGUACUGCCUGUGGUCGGGUCCUACCUUCUGGCGAAGCGUCAUGGCCUUAACCGGCCGUGGCGGGGAACCAGGACUUUUACUGUGAAAAAAUUAGAGUGUUCAAAGCAGGCAUUCGCUUGAAUACAUUAGCAUGGAAUAAUGGAAUAGGACAGUGGUUCUAUUUGUUGGUUUCUAGGACCGUUGUAAUGAUUAAUAGGGAUAGUUGGGGGCAUUAGUAUUCAAUUGUCAGAGGUGAAAUUCUUGGAUUUAUUGAAGACUAACUACUGCGAAAGCAUUUGCCAAGGAUGUUUUCAUUAAUCAAGAACGAAAGUUAGGGGAUCGAAGACGAUCAGAUACCGUCGUAGUCUUAACCAUAAACUAUGCCGACUAGGAAUCGGGCGAUGUUGACAAAAUGACGCGCUCGGCACCUCAUA
rnacentral:rRNA from 1 species